UCGAACAGACCUAAAUUACUAGCUUCUACACCAAUAUUUAAUUUUAAUCCAACAUCGAGGUCGCAAUCUUUUUUUUCGAUUAGAACUCUCUAAAAAAAUUACGCUGUUAUCCCUAAGGUAAUUUUUUCUUUUAAUCUAAAUAAAGGAUCAUUUUUUCAUAAAUAAAUGUUUGAAAAUAAAAAAAGUUUAUUUAAUU
rnacentral:rRNA from 1 species